rnacentral:rRNA from 1 species
AUGGAUUUAAGUCCCGCACUAAUCUGUUGGAAUGUUCGAGGCCUAAACAACACGGCCAAGAGAAAGGCGGUCAAGGAGUUCAUUGGCACUGUCAAGAGUAGCCUAGUUUGCUUGCAAGAAAUGAAAAUGGAUGUAAUCGAUAAGUACACUAUUAUGCAAUGUCUAGGGCUGUCCUUUGACAGUUUUGCUUAUGUGCCUUUGGAGGAAACUCGUGGAGGUAUCUUGUUGGCU